UACGAAGGGGGCUAGCGUUGCUCGGAAUCACUGGGCGUAAAGCGCACGUAGGCGGAUUGUUAAGUCAGGGGUGAAAUCCUGGAGCUCAACUCCAGAACUGCCUUUGAUACUGGCGAUCUUGGGUCCGGGAGAGGUGAGUGGAACUGCGAGUGUAGAGGUGAAAUUCGUAGAUAUUCGCAAGAACACCAGUGGCGAAGGCGGCUCACUGGCCCGGUACUGACGCUGAGGUGCGAAAGCGUGGGGAGCAAACAGG
rnacentral:rRNA from 1 species